GACGAACGCUGGCGGCGUGCUUAACACAUGCAAGUCGAACGGAAAGGCCCUGCUUUUGUGGGGUGCUCGAGUGGCGAACGGGUGAGUAACACGUGAGUAACCUGCCCUUGACUUUGGGAUAACUUCAGGAAACUGGGGCUAAUACCGGAUACGAGCUCCUGCUGCAUGGUGGGGGUUGGAAAGUUUCGGCGGUUGGGGAUGGACUCGCGGCUUAUCAGCUUGUUGGUGGGGUAGUGGCUUACCAAGGCUUUGACGGGUAGCCGGCCUGAGAGGGUGACCGGCCACAUUGGGACUGAGAUACGGCCCAGACUCCCACGGGAGGCAGCAGUGGGGAAUAUUGCACAAUGGGCGGAAGCCUGAUGCAGCAACGCCGCGUGCGGGAUGACGGCCUUCGGGUUGUAAACCGCUUUCGCCUGUGACGAAGCGUGAGUGACGGUAAUGGGUAAAGAAGCACCGGCUAACUACGUG
rnacentral:rRNA from 1 species